ensembl:lncRNA
GUUAACAUUCUGCACUCUCACCAGUCAACAAAUUCCUUCGACAUGAACCAAGGCGACCUGCCCCACUGCUUCAUCCGACAUCCCUUCCACUAGGCCAAAAAAACGGUUGUUUCAUAGAGGGGCUAUGUACCCCCUUCCAUAGCACCAUCUCACUUUCUGAUGGGAUGAGAACUGGAGAUUCCGGGCGGAGGUGGACAGUGCGACGUGCUCCUUCAUCUCGUUCUGCCACUUAGACUCUGUUGUAGAGUGUGAAGUUUUUGUCCCACUCCCUCCGGAUCUCUGGUCUCAUGGCAGCCUGUAACUGAACAUGUUGAAGGGGAAUAGCUCCAAAGAGGUCCUGCCAGCAGGCAGUUAUUGCAUUAAUUCCUAGCACUACCCGAUCACUCCUAAGAAAAUCAUCUCAUACCAGGAUCAUUGCCUUCUGUGGUAUCUUCACCCCACCUCAAAAUAUAAGACCGCUUACCCCAAAUAUGGGAUGGACAGCCCAUUAGCAGCCUUCACAGUCAACCAGUUGAUGGACUCUGGGUCAUACCGUUUCUGGUUUUGGAUCCACUUCUGAAAGAAAGAUUCACUGUACAGUGUUUCUAGUGACAUCUCCCACUUUGACCAGUACUCCUGGGCAGUUUUGUUAUGGAGGCACUGAGCACCCUGUCGACACUGUGCCAAAUGUCAGAUAUGGGAAAACUUUUUUAUUAUUUUUUGCCCCAGUGCAAUUUGGAUGAUCGACAACAAGGCAAGUUUCACAAUGAACAAUACUUUAUUUGAAUAGGUAGGAAAUGUCUCUUAAAAAGUCUCUCCUCAAAAAUAGCAACUCCUAAAAUGUCCAGCAGGCAAAAACUCAUCCACAUGAUAGACAGUGUAGUUGAGUCCGCCCGUGGUAUUGUUCCUCCACUUUUAGUCUUCUCCUUAGCUCUCCAUUGAAUCUCUUUCUCUCCACAGGUUCCAUUCGCCGUGAAGGGAGGGUUCAGUGUCAUGUAUUGUCAUGUUGUGUGUUUCUGUCCUUUCCCUUCACCCUGUCUCCCUCUGCUGGUCGUUGUUAGGUUACCUUUUCUCCCCCUCUUUCCCCCAGCUGUGCCUUGUCUCCUCCUAACUACCCAUUCACCCCGUUUCCCACCUGUUCCCUUUUUCCCUCUGAUUAGGUCCCUAUAUCUCUCUCUGUUUUUGUUCCUGUCCUUGUCGGAUUCUUGUUUGUUGUGUUUCAUGCCUGAACCAGACUAUCGUCAUGUUUGCUGUAACCUUCACCCUGUCUCCCUCUGCUGGUCGUUGUUAGGUUACCUUUUCUCCCCCUCUUUCCCCCAGCUGUGCCUUGUCUCCUCCUAACUACCCAUUCACCCCGUUUCCCACCUGUUCCCUUUUUCCCUCUGAUUAGGUCCCUAUAUCUCUCUCUGUUUUUGUUCCUGUCCUUGUCGGAUUCUUGUUUGUUGUGUUUCAUGCCUGAACCAGACUAUCGUCAUGUUUGCUGUAACCUUGUCCUGUCCUGUCGGAAUCUGCCGGUCUAUCUGAGCCUACCUAUGUUUGGUUAUUAAAGAAGCUCUGUUUAAGUUAGUUCGCUUUUGGGUCCUCAUUCACUCACCGUAACAUUCAG